rnacentral:lncRNA from 1 species
UCCUCCUGGAGGAAAUUUUUUUUUUCAGAUGUGCAUCAGUGAUUUUAAUAAAGAAAAACAUGGUUCUGAGAGGAAAUAGCUCGCUCAUGUGUAGUCGUUUAAACAAAGCAAUGUGAGGUUUAGCUGAGGGUAAGGAUUGCAACUGUGGAGAGCACCUUGUCUUCGGUACAGUUCAGGGUCUCUCCAUUCUUAGGCACAGAUAAGCCUUGUUCUUGCUUCUUUUUAGGAGGAAUAUAGCCACUGAGACGAGAGGCAAACUCCGUUUUUCACCAGAUCGUUUUACUUUGAGCUUCCUCUUGUCAGGGUCAUGCACAACAGCAUGCCUAGUGAGACUUUGUUUCAUUGCAGAUGUUUUGCCACAGCCUUCCUGUUCACAAGGGAAUGGGCGCCUCUCCCCGUGGAAAGAGAGGAUGUGGCUCUGGAGGUUGAACACGGCCGUGUAGGUUCUGCUACAGCCUCCUCUUGGACACCGGCACACGUCCCUUUCUGGGGCGUGGGUUUUCAUGUGCUGCUUAAGAGGGAAGAUCUAAGCAAUGUAUGGAGCAGUGUUUGGAUGUCCUUCCUGGCUGUGCAACCUUCAAAUGCAUCUUUCUGGUCCUCCUAGAGAUGGUGAGAGUUAAGGCACUUAAUCAUGUUACUUUUGCUUUGUAAUUUAAAUAGAUUAUGUUGUAUACUAGUAAUAGUCCUGACUGAUAUAUAAUUCUGUAUAUACUUAGAUUAUUCUAAAUUUGUAUAUGAGAUAUUUAAUGCCCAUGUUAACUGAAAAUUAGAAUGUAUCAUCUUUUCCUACAAAAUCCGUUCAAGAUUUUCUAAGAGUUUUUGAUGGGAAAAUGAGGAGUAACAGGAAUCAGUCUUUACAUGUAUAUUUCCAUCUGUCUUUACAUUACAGCUUAUAAAUGAAGACAAGAUGCUACAGAGGCACUGAGAGCUUGUUGUAGACAUGACAUGCUGGUCAACUCCACUUAUGCUACAACAGGCUCCAUCUUAACCAGCACUAACAGAAGUUAAGAAAACCACAGUGGGAUGCAUUAGUUAAGUCUUCACAAAAAAGAAAAGAAAGAUCAGAAAUCCAAACGGGGCAGCUGGGAUGAAAUUGGGAUACUUGUUUUUGUUUUGCCAUUUUUUCAUAGGAGACAAAUAUAAAUUGGGUAUAACUAAGCCAGUAUCUGCUGAUACCAUGAUUUCAGAUAUAAAUAUGCAGUGCAGUCUUUUCCCUUCACUAUUUCCUGUUUUUUUUCACUUAGGUUGUUUCCUUAUAGCUUUAUCAUCUCUUCUAUUCUAAAAAAUAAGGCAAUAAGAAGAGUGUUUAUAAGGUGUCUGCAUCUAUUUAACAUUCAGUUGGAAUUUUAAUCAUUUUUAACCUUCUGUGCUAUUUUAUUCCAAUAUUAAAUUUCUCUGUUGGGUAAAACUUGGAAAAGUUAAAAAACAAAAACAAUAAAAAAAACC